rnacentral:rRNA from 1 species
AGAGGGGUGCGAGCGCUAAUCGGAAUUACUGGGCGUAAAGAGCACGUAGGGUGGGUGCUUGAGUCGGGAUGUGAAAGCCCUGGGCUUAACCCAGGAAUUGCAUUCGAUACUGGGCACCUAGAGUAUAGUAGAGGGAAGUGGAAUUUCCGGUGUAGCGGUGAAAUGCGUAGAUAUCGGAAGGAACAUCAGUGGCGAAGGCGACUUCCUGGACUAAUACUGACACUGAGGUGCGAAAGCGUGGGGAGCAAACAGGAUUAGAGACCCUGGUAGUCCACGCCGUCAACGAUGAGAACUAGACGUUGGGAGGUUUACCUUUUAGUGUCGCAGCAAACGCGAUAAGUUCUCCGCCUGGGGAGUACGGCCGCAAGGCUA